rnacentral:rRNA from 1 species
AGCAGCCGCGGUAAUUCCAGCUCCAAUAGCGUAUAUUAAAGUUGUUGCAGUUAAAAAGCUCGUAGUUGAAUUUCGGGAUCAAGUCGUCGGUCGUGCCUCGGUACGCACUGGUGACAUUGGUUUCUCCUUCUGAAGAACCUUGAUGUCAUUAAUUUGGUGUCUUGGGGAAUCAGGACUGUUACUUUGAAAAAAUUAGAGUGUUUAAAGCAGGCUCACGCUUGAAUACAUUAGCAUGGAAUAAUGAAAUAGGACGUUUGACUCUAUUUUGUUGGUUUCUAGGAUCGACGUAAUGAUUAAUAGGGAUAGUUGGGGGCAUUAGUAUUCAAUUGUCAGAGGUGAAAUUCUUGGAUUUAUUGAAGACUAACUACUGCGAAAGCAUUUGCCAAGGAUGUUUUCAUUAAUCAAGAACGAAAGUUAGGGGAUCGAAGACGAUCAGAUACCGUCGUAGUCUUAACCAUAAACUAUGCCGACUAGGGAUCGGAUGAUGUUAAUUUUAUGACUCAUUCGGCGCCUUAAC